GUCAGCUCUGAGAUGUAAAGAGCAUGAGUUUUGACUCACCCUAAUUGAAGACAGAUGCCUGGCUGCUGCAGUCUGACCUGCACCCUCCCUUUUCCUCACUGAAGUGGGAGCGUUCUGCUCAUUGUUACGGGAUGAGGUCCCAUGAUAUCUAGAACACCAUGUAGUUUGAAAAAAAAAGGCAACCCUCUUCCUCCUUUUCCUGACCUGAAGAACAUUGAAGCAAGACGGAGCAGACAGUGUGUGUGACUCCACCACAACGUACUGGAAAAACUACCUGGAAUGGAGGAAAACAUUCUGACCUGACGAUGAGAGGAGGGAAUUCCAAACACAGGCCUUGUGAAGACAGAGCUUCCUGUGUUAAUACCACAGGGCAGUGUAGCUGUCAAGAAGUGAUCCAGGCUCGACAAGAAGCUGGGAGACCUCAGCCUUGACCCCGCCUUGUGCAGUUGGAUCCUGGACUUCCUGUCAGUUCGCCAGCAGGUUGUAAGAGUGAACUCCCUCACCUCCAACCCACUGACUCUCAAUACAGGAGCCCCUCAGGGCCAUGUACUGAGUCUCCUCCUUUACUCCCUGUAUACCCAUGACUGUAUCACCACCCACAGCUCCAAUUUGCUAAUUAAAUUUGUUGAUGACACUACAUUGAUUGGCCUAAUCUCAAACAAUAAUGAGGUGGCCUACAGGGAAGAAGUCAUCACCCUGACACAGUGGUGUCAAGAAAACAACCUCUCCCUCAAUGUCACAAAAGCAAAGGAGCUCAUUGUGGACUACAGGAGGAAUGGAGACAGGCUAACCCCUACUAACAUCAAUGGAUCUGGGGUUGAGAGGGUGAACAGCUUCAAGUUCCUCGGCAUUUACAUCACCGAGGACCUCACAUGGGCUGUACACAACAGCACCUCUUUCACCUCAGACGGUUGAGGAAGUUUGGUAUGGGCCCCCAAAUCCUAAGAACUUUCUACAGGGGCACAAUUGAGAGCAUCCUGACUGGUUGUAUCACUGCCUGGUUUGGGAACUGUACCUCCCUCAACCGCAGGGCUCUGCAGAGAGUGGUGUGGACAGCCCAGCACACCUUCCCAGGAUUCAGGACAUUUACAAGGACAGGAUUAUUGGGGACCCAAGCUAUCCCAACCACAAUCUACUCCAGCUGCUACCAUCUGGGAAGUGGUACCGCAGCAUAAAAGCCAGGACCAACAGGCACCGGGACAGCUUCUUCCACCAGGCCAUCAAACUGAUGAACUCACACUGAUUUGAGUGAACUCUAUAUUACAUUGACUGUUCUAUUUAUUAUAAAUUACUAUGAUUGCACAUGGCACAUUGAGAUGGAGACAUAACAUAAAGAUUUUUACUCAUGUAUGUGAAAGAUGUAAGAAAUAAAGUCAAUUCAGUUCAGUUCACAUGUCCUUCCGGAGACAUUCUGCGCGAUUCCUGCUUGGCAUUUAUGAGACUCUAGGUUCUCGGAGACAGAGGGUGGCAAAGUGGCGCACCUGGUGUCACAGUUCCAGAGAAUCCGCAUUCGAUCCCAACCUCCAGUGCUGUUCUGAUGUAGAGUUUCUAUGUUCUCCCAUGACCACAUGGGUUUCCUCUGGGUGCUCCGGUUUCCAAAGUCACAGCCCAAAGACGUGUGGGUCCAGAGGUUAACUGUAUGCUGUAAAGUGGGUGGGAGAAUCUGGAACGGGUGUGUGUAUGAUGGGAACAUCAGGAGAAUAAUAUGAGAUUAGUGCAGCAUUAGUCUAAGUGCUUGGCUGAUGGUUAGCAGACUCGAUGGUCAAAGGAUCUGUUUUUGUGUUGAAUGAACAUCUGACCCUAGUAUUGAUACUGGCACUGAAUUCAGCCAGGGUAAUUUCAAUUCAAUGCCAGCCAACUGACAAACACCCGAGUAUUGGCAUCUAAACUGGGGCAGUUGUACCACAGGGCUCUGAAGCAAUAAGCGACAGUGAUAAUCGCAGCUUCACAAUGUGCUGGACUCCUCUAGCACAAUCACUGUCCCUGUAGGGACAGGGGAAGGCACGUGGUUAGCAAGUGGGAGGGAGCAGUCCAUAGGAUCAUUUCCAGACGCCAUGCUAUUUCAUAGUAUCAGCAUCAGACACAGACAAUACCACCCCAGCUUAUUACCAGCUCAGCAUUCCAUGGAGCAAAGUGAUGGAAGCUGAACUAACAGCAUUAUCCAUGACACAUAUUCCACAUGGAUGCCCAGCAUGUCUUUCUCCAUAGAUACUUUGCUCUGGUCCUCAUCACAGCCCUGGUUCAACACAGAGCAGAGCUGAAUUCCAGAGGCAAGGUGAGGGCAAAUGCCCUCAAUGUUGAGUAUUGUGCCAAAAAGCCGUAGUAAAUCGUAAGUCAGUGGGCAUCAAAAUGGAAUGAACUCCAUUGGUGGAGUCAGACAUCUCUCAAUGGAAGAUGUUUGUGGUGGUUGGAGGUCAAUCAUCAUCCCAGUGCAGGAGUUCCUCAGGACAGCGUCCCAGUCCCAACCUGUACACCUGCUUCAUCUUUCCAUUCCAUGGCAAAGUGAGAAGUGGGGUCGUUUACUGACGUGGAGCCCAGUUCACACCUCCCCAGCAGAUGCAGUGGCCCAUGCCUGCACACUGUAAGGUCGAGACAAUGUCCAGACACGGGUUAAUAGAUGGCCAGUAACACAUGCCACAGAAGUAGCAAUGACCACUGGGGCUGACCACCUACCCUUCUCAUCACUGAGAAUCUCACCCCUCCCCCAACACCACUCCACAGUCAACAUCUGGGGGGGGGGGGGGAACUUACUGUUAACCAGAAACAUGAGUGGAUCAGCCACAUAAAUACUGUGACAAGACCAGGCCAGAGAUUGUGUCCUGUGACAAGCGACUCACCUCCUAACAUCCCAGCACCUUCCCACCAUCCACAAGGCAGCAGUGAUGGGACAAGGGGUAGAAUGCUUGAAAGAGAUGUAUGCUUGUUUGCAGAGUGGUAGGUGCCCGUGAUGUACUGCCAGUGGAGGUGUGGGAGCAGGCAUGAUAGUGCCCAGGAGGCACCUGGACAGGCAGGGAAUGGACAGAUAUGCAUCAUGUGCAGGCAGACGCACAGU